GUGCUCGCUUUGGCAGCACAGAAACUAAAAUUAGAAUGAUACAGAGAAGAUUGGCAUGGCCACUGCGCAAGGAUGACAUACAAAUUCAUGAAGCGUUCCCUAUUUUG